AUCAAAGAAGAUGAUCUCUAUUCUCUACAAGCAUUCAUCAUUGCUGUCAUCAAUGGUGAUGACACAAAUCGUUCCAUUCCGAAUGCUUUCCAAAGGUUUCAUCCUUCAUCAACAUCCCUUACCCAAGGAUUAAUAGCCACGAAUCCAAAACCAGGGGUGGUAAAGCCCCCCCCGUGUCUUGGAUAAGCUCCAGCAUUUGCAAUCCUAUGGUGAGCGCACCCGCCACCGAGGCCUCAUCAGACUUCACUGACUCUUUACCUCCAUUGGUGUGUUCAUCUCAAUGGAGAAAGCAUCAGCUCCUUAAACAACCUUCUCUUAUUGAGCCAUGUCUCCUUUGAGCACAUCUAAUGGCCUCCCUUCUUCCUUCGUUGAGACCACUGAGUCUGAGUUGUGUGGUCAGCGGAGUACGUACAGGAGAUGUUUCUUUUGGCGAUACAAGGCUUCAGUCAGCUUUCUGUGAGUAUGGGGGAGUGAGAAGAGGAUGGGUAUCAUCGGUGAGGCAUGGAGGAGCGUGAAGCCGUACUUGGUCAUGGUCUUCUUGCAGCUCGGGUAUGCAGGCAUGUUCGUCGUCUCCGUCGGCUCGCUCAAGCGUGGCAUGAGCCACUCCGUGCUCGUUGUGUACCGGAACGCCGUCGCUGCUGCUGUCGUCGCCCCAUUCGCUCUGUGGUUUGAAGGGAAGGUGAGGCCCAAGAUGACACUCCCCAUCUUCCUCAAGAUCAUGGCUUUAGCACUACUGGAGCCAGUGCUUGACCAAAACCUGUACUACAUGGGCACCAAGUACACCUCUGCAAGCUUCUCCUCUGCUCUUUACAACAUACUGCCUGCGGUCACCUUCGUAAGCGCCAUCGUGUUAAGGUAAAAGCUCGAAUCGCCGUAGUUUUCACGCGUUGAUGUGUUUGAUCUCCACUGCUAUAUGAACUGCAUGCAUCCAUGAGUAGAAUGGAGAGGGUAUAGGAUUCGACGCCAGACUCUUCACCGGCGGUCUACUCGGGACUGAUGUGCUCGGGAGUUGCGUAUUACUUGCAGGGGGUGGUGAUGAAGGAGAGAGGCCCUGUGUUCGUGACGGCCUUCAACCCACUCUGCAUGGUCAUUGUGGCUGUGAUGGGGUCUAUCAUUCUCGCGGAGGAGAUCUCUUUGGGGAGGGUGAUUGGUGCAGUCAUCAUAGUGAUUGGCCUGUAUGCUACCACCCAGCCAUCGGAGGACAGUGAAAUGAUACCACUGUAGACAUUGCAUCCCUGAAGAAACCUUGAGGAGUCGAUGAACAGCUUUACCUUGUAC